rnacentral:misc_RNA from 1 species
GAUGAAGAACGCAGCGAAAUGCGAAAAGUAAUGUGAAUUGCAGAAUUCAGUGAAUCAUCGAAUCUUUGAACGCACAUUGCGCCCGCUGGUACUCCGGCGGGCACGCCUGUCCGAGCGUCAUUUCAACCCUCAAGCCCUCCUUCGGGAUGGGCCUGGUGUUGGGGCUCGGCCGCCAUCUCCGGCGGCCGUCCCCUAAAUACAGUGGCGGUCACGUCGCGACUCCUUUGCGUAGUAGAAACACCUCGCUCCGGAUAGCAACGCGGUCCACGCCGUAAAACCACCAAUUUUCAAUGGUUGACCUCGGAUCAGGUGGGAAUACCCGCUGAACUUAAGCAUAUCAAUAAGCGGAGGA